ensembl:lncRNA
CAUUUAUUCCCACUAGACUGGCAUCUCCAACUCACAAGCUAUUUGGCAUAUGAUCAUGGCAUCAUGAGUGACUGUGGCUACCAGGGAAGACAGAAAUGAAGAAUGUACUUAUUUUCCACGGGGUGCUUAUGAUGACUUUAAUAUCAGCUUUAUUCAGAAUUCAGCCUUGCAGAGGAGAAACACAGAAGUGUAAGAGCAAACUGAAAAAUAUGAGAGGGUGUUUGGCACAAGGUUAAGCAUUUUUAGAUCAACACUGGACAACGGGGCUCAGGCUGCCACCAUGCUUCAUCCGUCUCCUCGUUUGCACCAGCAAAUACCACUGCUCUCCUGUCUCACAGAAUAAAGGAGAAGCAGGCAGAUUCCUGCCUUAUUUACACAGAGAAGUCAGAGGUGUGAUGAGACCUCG